GCCAGUAAGGCCUCUGCAUCUUUCUCAGAUCCUGUCCCCACCUUCCACCCCCACAGUGGUCCCAUCUGGACUUGCUCCAGCCCCCUCACUGGAGGAGGAAGUCCCCACCAGGACCCCUACCCUGGGAGACACGCUGACACACUGGAAAGUGAGGUUUGCUCCAUGAAGACAGGCAUCUUGUACACUUUGUUCUUCGCUGUUCCCUUAGCACUUAACACAGUGUCAGGCAAAAAUAGAUGCUUAAGAAUUUAUGUUGAAUAGAUGGAUGCAUUUGAGCUUGGGAUCUCCAGGAGACAAACUUCAGCAUAACUUAAGGAAGAAGCUGGUAAUGGUCAGAAUUUCCUGGGAAUGGAAGACACUGCUAAUGAGAGGGUGACACCCUCAUCAUGGGAGAGCUGUCACCCCAGGCUUGGGGAUGGCUGAAAGGGGACAGAAACGUUGGUAACACCAAGUUCACCAAUGUAUCACCAUCGAUCACGGCGCCUGAUGCACAGCCGGCGCUCAGUGGAUAUUUGCUGAAACGGAAUGAACGCGCCCAUGCCAGGUAUUAUGCUAAGCUCUUUCCAACAUUCAGUCAACAAACACUAAGUGACCGCGAAAGCCCGGUCCGGGUCUCAUCGUCUGAGCCAGGAGGCAGGGCUGUUACCGUCGCUCUUUUACAAAGGCGAAAACUGAAGCUCAGAGGUUACCUGAGUUGCCCAAGGUCAAAGCUAGAAAAUGCCAAGUCAGUAUCUGAACUCAGGUCUCACUCCGGCGCGCACUUUUAAUCCCUCCGCAGCACCCUACCUUCCGGCUUCCUGGGGCCCCAGCUGGGGCACUCCAGGGGAUCUAGGUUUUUUCCUCCAGAUUACGCACCCGGGGCGGGCCCACAAGGCGCACUGGCGGGGCGCAGCGGGCUCGGGGCGCGGGGGUGUAGGGACUAAA